rnacentral:rRNA from 1 species
UACGGGAGGCAGCAGUGGGGAAUAUUGCACAAUGGGCGCAAGCCUGAUGCAGCCAUGCCGCGUGUAUGAAAAAGGCCUUCGGUUGUAAAGUACUUUCAGUCGUGAGGAAGGUGUUAAGGUUAAUAACCUUAGCAAUUGACGUUAGCGGCAGAAGAAGCACCGGCUAACUCCGUGCCAGCAGCCGCGGUAAUACGGAGGGUGCGAGCGUUAAUCGGAAUUACUGGGCGUAAAGGGCACGCAGGCGGUUAAUUAAGUUGGAUGUGAAAUCCCCGGGCUUAACCUGGGAAUGGCAUUCAAGACUGGUUAGCUAGAGUCUUGUAGAGGGGGUAGAAUUCCAUGUGUAGCGGUGAAAUGCGUAGAGAUGUGGAGGAAUACCGGUGGCGAAGGCGGCCCCUGGACAAAGACUGACGCUCAUGUGCGAAAGCGUGGGGAGCAAACAGGGAUUAGAUACC